rnacentral:rRNA from 1 species
UACGAAGGUGGCAAGCGUUGUUCGGAUUUACUGGGCGUACAGGGAGCGUAGGCGGUUUGGUAAGCCCUCCGUGAAAUCUUCGGGCUCAACCCGGAAAGUUCAGAGGGGACUGCCAGGCUAGAGGACGGGAGAGGAGCGCGGAAUUCCCGGUGUAGCGGUUAAAUGCGUGGAGAUCGGGAGGAAGGCCGGUGGCGAGGGCGGGGAUCUGGAACGUUUCUGACGCUGAGGCUUCAAAGCGUGGGGAGCACACAGG